rnacentral:tRNA from 1 species
GAGGUUAUAACUCAAGUAGUAGAGUGCAUGCUUAGCAUGCACAGGGUUCUAGGUUCAAUCCCUAGUACCUCU